rnacentral:rRNA from 1 species
UACGAAGGGGGCUAGCGUUGUUCGGAUUUACUGGGCGUAAAGCGCACGUAGGCGGAUUCUUAAGUCAGGGGUGAAAUCCCGAGGCUCAACCUCGGAACUGCCUUUGAUACUGGGGAUCUCGAGUCCGGGAGAGGUGAGUGGAACUGCGAGUGUAGAGGUGAAAUUCGUAGAUAUUCGCAAGAACACCAGUGGCGAAGGCGGCUCACUGGCCCGGUACUGACGCUGAGGUGCGAAAGCGUGGGGAGCAAACAGG